UACAGAGGGGGCAAGCGUUGUUCGGAAUUACGGGGCGUAAAGGGCUCGUAGGCGGCCAACUAAGUCAGACGUGAAAUCCCCAGGCUUAACCUGGGAACUGCGUCUGAUACUGGAUGGCUUGAAUUCGGGAGAGGGAUGCAGAAUUCCAGGUGUAGCGGUGAAAUGCGUAGAUAUCUGGAGGAAUACCGGUGGCGAAGGCGGCAUCCUGGACCGAGAUUGACGCUGAUGAGCGAAAGCUAGGGGAGCAAACGGG
rnacentral:rRNA from 1 species